UGCCAGUUUGCUGCCUGCCCUAUGGAAUUUGGACUCGUGCAUACCCACAGUUGUAUUUUCAGCUGAGUCCCUCAAAUUAUCAGGGCUUCUCCAAUUCCACCACUUCCAGGGACUCGGAAAACAACUCGCUCUGGCAAAUUGACUGACUCAGCCUGACGCGAAGUGCCGAAAGUCCACGUUCACACACCGCAGAGACAAACUUUCAAC